rnacentral:tRNA from 1 species
GCCCCCAUCGUCUAGAGGACUAGGACUCAGGCCUUUCAAGCCUGCAACAGGGGUUCGAAUCCCCUUGGGGGCACCU